ensembl:lncRNA
UGAACACUAUCACUGACAGAAAUGUACAGGAGUGUGCCUGUGCUGAGAAUCUUUUUCUGCAGAAUAUUACGUUUUUUUUCCCUACACAGAACUAGAAUGUCAAGGCCAUGCUAGCGCGUGGUUUUGGCAGAGUGUAUGUUGUGUGUUUUGGCCUAAAGUGUUUCAUGAGCCCAGGGUUAAUUUUGUGCAGGUCAACCUGACCCAGUCAGAAGAAUGUUCUAAGUGUAUGUAAUGUUAAGGUAGUUGAGCCAGUAAUAGACUUUAAUUCCUCUGCUUUGUUCUUAAAAAACAAAACAACACAGUUGGAUAUAAGUUGCUUUCUUUCCACCAGCUCUUAAACCUUGGGGAAGAAAGACUGGUCAGUUAGAAAUUAGGCCAGGCUACAUACAGCAGGAAGCCAAAAAUGGCAGUCACUUAAACACAUAAGGGUUUUUUUUAUUUUCUCACAUCAAAGUCUGGAGGUAAGCAGUUCAAGGCCCAUCGUUAGCUGUCCUCAGUCAUCUCAUUCCACAGAGGAAGGAGGAAAGAGAGGGCAGAGGGAAAGAGGGCGGAAAACAAAAGGGGUUCAGGGCAGCCUUCACCGUGCCUCCCAGGAAGCCCCCACAGAACUCCCUCUUACACCUCACUGGCAGAGAAAUAGUUCCAAAGGCGUCUGGGAAAUGUAGUUUUUUUCCCAAAGGCAAUGAUUCCCAAUGGUAAAUCAUGGUUCUGUUCCUAAGGAAGAAAGUGGACUGCAUAGUGGGGCAAGCAGAUCACAGCCUGUGCCCUACGUGAGACGGCAUCUAUGGAUGUACAGGAUCUUCUGGAGGCUGAGGAGAGAGCACUUUAUAUGCGCUGAGACUUGGCUGCAGCCUCGACAUAUCCCGAGACACAGUCCUGUUUCUCAGCUUCUUGCAGGAUGUCAGCGAGGAGACUCCCGUACUGACCUGCGCUCCAAGAGCGUCUCCAUCCAUCGCCAAGGGGCUAGUGCCGGGUCUGGCCACUCCAUCACGUCAUUCCCUGAUAGCUUUGCUUGCAAUGCUUGCAUGCCCUCCUUCCUCCGUUUAUGUGCCCUGGAUCGUCCCUCUCCUUCCUCUGUGUCUUUCAGACAAAUGAAGAAACCUAGGCUCAGGGAAGAAAGCUCAGAGCCAGAUCGAAUGUGAAUUGAAGCCAUUUUCCUUGCCCCCAGGUUUCCGGGGUUGUCUGUAUUGUUGGAGCUGGACAACUUACGUCAGGGGAGGAAGAGGGAAGAGGUCCUGAAAAGAAGUGAGACUCAGCCAUUUAUAGGGAUCACCCAGCCUACUGUCUUAUUAGUUCUCUGCAGCCACGAAAUUAAAAGACGCUUGCUCCUUGGAAGAAAAGUUAUAAUCAACCUAGACAGCAUAUUAAAAAGCAGAGACAUUACUUUGCCAACAAAGGUCUGUCUAGUCAAAGCUAUGGUUUUUCUAGUAGUCAUGACAGAUGUGAGAGUUGGAUUAUAAAGAAAGCUGAGUGCCGAAGAAUUGAUGCUUUUGAACUGUGGUGUUGGAGAAGACUCUUGAGAGUCCCUUGGGCUGCAAGGAGAUCCAGCCAGUCCAUCCUGAAGGAAAUCAGUCCUGAAUAUUCAUUGGAAGGACUGAUGUUGAAGCUGAAACUGCAGUACUUUGGCCACCUGAUGUGAAGAACUGACUCAUGUGAAAAGACCCUGAUGCUGGGAAAGAUUGAAGGCAGGAGGAGAAUGGCAUAAUAGAGGAUGAGACGGUUGGAUGGCAUCAUCUCCUCAGUGGACAUGAGUUUAAGCAAGCUCUGGGGGUUGGUGAUGGACAGGUAAGCCUGGUGUGCUACAGUCCAUGGGGUCACAAAGAGCCAGACACAACUGAGCAACUGAACUGAACUGAUUUUAAAUUUGAAUAGAAGUCUAG